CUAUAGAAGGAGGUGUUGUGUCACCAUUCAGCCUAUGGAAGCCAUGUGCACCAAUUCUUAGGCCGUUGAAUUGUAAAUUACUUAAGAUACAUCUCUAAACAUCUGUUGACCACUUCUAUCUAUCCAUCAGUUUGGGAGUCAUAAGAAGAACUCAUGUAUAAUUCAAUCCCAUGCAAACUAAAUAACUCCUUCCAAAAAGGUACUCAUAAACAUUUUAUCCUCAUCACUGACAAUUGAGUCAGGCAUGCCAUGCAACUUAAAAACAAAUUCCACAAAUAAUUAGGCAAUUUGGGAAG
rnacentral:lncRNA from 1 species